UACCAGCGGCCCUAGUGGUGAUCGUUAUUAUUGGGCCUAAAGCGUCCGUAGCCGGUCCGGUAAAUCUCUGGGUAAAUCGUUGGGCUUAACUCAACGAAUUCUGGGGAGACUGCCGGACUUGGGACCGGGAGAGGUCGGAGGUACUCCAGGGGUAGGGGUGAAAUCCUGUAAUCCUUGGGGGACCACCGGUGGCGAAGGCGUCCGACCAGAACGGGUCCGACGGUAAGGGACGAAGCCCUGGGGCGCGAACCGGAUUAGAUACCCGGGUAGUCCAGGGUGUAAACGCUGUGCGCUUGGUGUUGGGGGUCCUUCGUGGGCACCCAGUGCCGGAGAGAAGUUGUUAAGCGCACCGCCUGGGGAGUACGGUCGCAAGACUGAAACUUAAAGGAAUUGGCGGGGAGCACAGCAACGGGAGGAGCGUGCGGUUU
rnacentral:rRNA from 1 species